rnacentral:rRNA from 1 species
GACGAACGCUGGCGGCGUGCCUAAUACAUGCAAGUCGAACGCAGUGGGGACGGGUGAGUAACACGAGGGUAAACUCCCAUCAGAGGGGAUAAAACUUGGAAACAGGUGCUAAACCGAUAAUUAUGGAUGGACCCGCGGUGCAUUAGCUAUUUGGUGAGGUAACGUCUCACCAAGUCCACGAUGCAUAGCCUACCUUAGAGGGUGAUCGGCCACACUGGGACUGAGACACGGCCCAGACUCCUACGGUAGGCAGCAGUAGGGAAUCUUCGGCAAUGGAGGAAAGUCUGACCGAGCAACGCCGCUUGAGUGAAGAAGGUUUUCGGAUCGUAAACCUCUGUUGUUAGAGAAGCGGUAUCUAACCAGAAAGCCACGGCUAACUACGUGCCAGCAGCCGCGGUAAUUC